GACGUAGGGCGCGAGCGUUGUCCGGAUUUAUUGGGCGUAAAGAGCUCGUAGGCGGCUUGUCGCGUCGUUCGUGAAACCUGCGGCUCAACUGCAGGCUUGCGGUCGAUACGGCAGGCUGGAGUCGUAGGGAGACUGAUCUGUGUAGCGUGAAUGCGCAGAUAUCAGAGACACGUGCGAGCGUCUCUGGCAUACUGACGCUGAGAGCGAAAGUGUGGGAGCGAACAGAUAGAUA
rnacentral:rRNA from 1 species